AUGCAGCCGGACCCGUUAUUAGAAAAAAUAGACUGGUUUUUUUACCUCCAAUCAUUGACAACGUCGUAUCCGAAUACAUCAGUGAAAGCUCUCCCCAGGCCAGUUUCAGACCACAUACCUUGUCUUGUCUCGGUUCAAUCUUCCAUUCCACGCUCCAAGGUAUUUCGUUUUGAAAACUAUUGGCCUUUACACCCAGGUUUUAUGGACACUGUUAAAUCUUCUUGGCAACUCCCUGUACAUUCCUCUGAUGCUGCGUUAGCUCUUAGUGCUAAGUUAAAAAAAUUGAGAUGGGUCCUUAAAAGAUGGAGCAAAGGUCUCUCUAAGCUCUCAUUGCUUAUGAAUAAUUGUCAUUCUGUUCUUGCUCUUUUGGAUAAUUUAGAGGAGAGCCGACCUCUAGUCAUUCAGGAAUGGAACUUUCGGAAAAUUUUAAAAUCACAAAUAAUUCGUUUACAGUCCUAG
rnacentral:rRNA from 1 species